AUAUCAAUAAGCGGAGGAAAAGAAACUAACAAGGAUUCCCCUAGUAACUGCGAGUGAAGCGGGAAAAGCUCAAAUUUAAAAUCUGGCGUUCUCUGGGCGUCCGAGUUGUAAUCUGGAGGAGCGUUUUCCGCGUUGGACCGUGUACAAGUCUCCUGGAACGGAGCGUCAUAGAGGGUGAGAAUCCCGUCCAUGACACGGACUACCAGUG
rnacentral:rRNA from 1 species